AGUAAAAUCAGCUAAACAAGCUUUUGGACCCACACCCAAACAUGUUGGUUAAACCCCCUCCUUUACUA
rnacentral:tRNA from 1 species